GUGCUCGCUUUGGCAGCACAUAUACUAAAAUUGGAACGAUACAGAGAUUAGCAUGGCCCCUGUGCACGGAUGACACGCAAAUUGGUGAAGCGUUCCAUAUUUUU
rnacentral:snRNA from 1 species